AUUGAACGCUGGCGGCAUGCUUUACACAUGCAAGUCGAACGGCAGCACGGGUGCUUGCACCUGGUGGCGAGUGGCGGACGGGUGAGUAAUACAUCGGAACGUAUCCUAAAGUGGGGGAUAACGCAUCGAAAGAUGUGCUAAUACCGCAUACACUCUGAGGAGGAAAGUAGGGGAUCGAAAGACCUUAUGCUUUUGGAGCGGCCGAUGUCUGAUUAGCUAGUUGGUAAGGUAAUGGCUUACCAAGGCAACGAUCAGUAGUUGGUCUGAGAGGACGACCAGCCACACUGGGACUGAGACACGGCCCAGACUCCUACGGGAGGCAGCAGUGGGGAAUUUUGGACAAUGGGCGCAAGCCUGAUCCAGCAAUGCCGCGUGAGUGAAGAAGGCCUUC
rnacentral:rRNA from 1 species